AACGAACGCUGGCGGCAGGCCUAAAACAUGCAAGUCGAACGGGUGUAGCAAUACAUCAGUGGCGCACGGGUGAGUAACGCGUGGGAAUAUGCCCUUCACUACGGGACAACGUCGGGAAACUGACGCUAAUACCGUAUAAUGACUCCGGUCCAAAGAUUUAUCGGUGAAGGAUUAGCCCGCGUCUGAUUAGUUUGUUGGUGAGGUAACGGCUCACCAAGACUACGAUCAGUAGCUGGUCUGAGAGGAUGAUCAGCCACACUGGGACUGAGACACGGCCCAGACUCCUACGGGAGGCAGCAGUUAGGAAUAUUGGACAAUGGGGGAAACCCUGAUCCAGCCAUGCCGCGUGUGUGAUGAAGGCCUUAGGGUUGUAAAGCACUUUCGUUGGGGAUGAUAAUGACCGUACCCAAAGAAGAAGCCACGGCUAAAUUCGUGCCAGCAGCCGCCGUAA
rnacentral:rRNA from 1 species